AACUUCAAUUUUUUUUGCUUCUUUACCUUUUUAUCUAUUUACAAAGACCUUAAAUGGAAGUAUCCUAUAGAUUUUUAAGUGUUAUUAUUGUGAAAAUAUUGUAGGUAUGCAAUAGAAAAAACAGUAGUAGUAUUUUGCAUGUUUCAUUUUUUGUUUGGACAUUCUUUGCAGGAGGCCAUUUUGUAAAAACCAUUUAGACAAAUUGUAAAUUUAACAAAUUUACAGUAACAUAAUCACAUAAGUCAUAACACAUGCAUCAAAUGAUUACUUUU